rnacentral:lncRNA from 1 species
CCCUGCUUUUUGUUCAACCAGUACUCUAAACGUCUCUUGCUUAUCUCGAAUGCGGACUGGUUGACGCUUCCGUCCACCUUAAAUCCAAGCGCUUCUGCAAGGUUCGCGUUACCUUCGGGUCUCGCUAGGUGAAUGCCUUCGCGUUCCAUUAGGAUGUACUGAGUGGUCUUCAGAUUUCUGCUGCAGCAUAUGCAUGCCUCGUCUAGUU